rnacentral:rRNA from 1 species
GACGAACGCUGGCGGCGUGCUUAACACAUGCAAGUCGAACGGUGAAGCGCCUUCCUUUUUGGUGGGUGUGGAUGAGUGGCGAACGGGUGAGUAACACGUGAGUAACCUGCCCCCUUCUUCUGGAUAACCGCAUGAAAGUGUGGCUAAUACGGGAUAUUCUGGGUCGGUCGCAUGAUGGGUCUGGGAAAGAUAUUGUUUCGGUGGGGGAUGGGCUCGCGGCCUAUCAGCUGGUUGGUGGGGUGAUGGCCUACCAAGGCGGUGACGGGUAGCCGGCCUGAGAGGGUGGACGGUCACACUGGGACUGAGACACGGCCCAGACUCCUACGGGAGGCAGCAGUGGGGAAUAUUGCACAAUGGGCGCAAGCCUGAUGCAGCGACGCCGCGUGAGGGAUGGAGGCCUUCGGGUUGUGAACCUCUUUCGCCAGUGAAGCAGGCCUGCCUCGUUUGUGGGUGGGUUGACGGUAGCUGGAUAAGAAGCGCCGGCUAACUACGUG